rnacentral:rRNA from 1 species
GCACUGGAUGGGCUAGGGGGGCUUACCGCCUUACCAAACCUAACCAAACUCCGAAUACCCGUGAACUUGUGCGGGAGGCACACGGUGGGUGCUAACGUCCAUCGUGAAGAGGGAAACAACCCAGACCAACAGCUAAGGCCCCCAAUUCGYGGCUAAGUGGGAAAGGAUGUGGGAMUCCCAAAACAACCAGGAGGUUGGCUUAGAAGCAGCCAUCCUUUAAAGAAAGCGUAACAGCUCACUGGUCUAGACCGSAAGGUCAAGGGUUCCUGCGCCGAAGAUGUACCGGGGCUCAAGCCGCGAGCCGAAGCUUUGGGUUUGCACCUAUAGCAUGGGUGCAAGCGGUAGCGGAGCGUUCSSUARGYCUGWGAAGGGACAGCCGCGAGGCAUCCUGGAGRUAUSSGAAGUGCGAAUGCUGACAUGAGUAACGASAAACGCUGUGAAAGACAGCGUCGCCGAAAGUCCAAGGGUUCCUGCGUAAAGUUAAUCUYCGCAGGGUUAGCCGGCCCCUAAGGCGAGGCCGAAAGGCGUAGUCGAUGGGAACCACGCGAACAAUCGUGGGCCAGCGGGUGGUGACGGAUGCCGUAUGUUGUUCSYCCUUAUCGGAUUGGGCGGGCCGCGAAGGCGUCCCAGGAAAC